GCUUAAAUAUUGAGCUUUCGCUUUGAUAAUGCGACGAGCGUUAUCGUCGGAAAGUGGGUUCUUGGGGUUCUUUGAUCUGGGUUUUGGUUUGUUGAGGUUCUUGCUGUUGCCGUCGCUGAGUGUCCAUGGGUCUGGUGUGACGGAGCAGGAGACUAUGGUGGGUCUCGGUUUGGGUUUUUUGGUAUGUUUGUGAGAUGGAGAUUUUAAUGGAGUUGAGCAGAGGAAUGAAGAUUGCAGAGCUUCCAUUGAUUGAUUUGGAAAUUUUGAGAGGGCAAUUGAGCACACAGGCUACUCAGUGUAAAGAAGAUAG
rnacentral:misc_RNA from 1 species